UACGUAGGGGGCAAGCGUUGUCCGGAAUCAUUGGGCGUAAAGCGCGUGUAGGCGGCUUCGUAAGUCCGUUGUGAAAGUCCAGGGCUCAACCCUGGAAUGCCGAUGGAUACUGCGGAGCUAGAGUCCGGAAGAGGCGAGUGGAAUUCCUGGUGUAGCGGUGAAAUGCGCAGAUAUCAGGUGGAACACCGAUGGCGAAGGCAGUGAUCUGGGCCAGUACUGACGCUGAGGAGCGAAAGCGUGGGGAGCAAACAGG
rnacentral:rRNA from 1 species